rnacentral:rRNA from 1 species
GUAGGUGGCAAGUGUUGUCCGGAAUUAUUGGGCGUAAAGCGCGCGCAGGUGGUUCUUUAAGUCUGAUGUGAAAGCCCCCGGCUCAACCGGGGAGGGUCAUUGGAAACUGGGGAACUUGAGUGCAGGAGAGGAAAGUGGAAUUCCACGUGUAGCGGUGAAAUGCGUAGAUAUGUGGAGGAACACCAGUGGCGAAGGCGACUUUCUGGCCUGUAACUGACACUGAGGCGCGAAAGCGUGGGGAGCAAACAGGGAUUAGAUACCCUGGUAGUCCACGCCGUAAACGAUGAGUGCUAAGUGUUGGGGGGGUUUCCGCCCCCUCAGUGCUGCAGCUAACGCAUUAAGCACUCCGCCUGGGAGUACGGUCGCAGGACUG